rnacentral:rRNA from 1 species
GGGAUAUUGCACAAUGGGCGCAAGCCUGAUGCAGCAACGCCGCGUGCAUGAUGAAGGCCUUCGGGUCGUAAAAUGCUUUUCUGACUGAAGAGGAAGGACAGUAAGUCAGGAAUAAGUGUCGGCUAACUACGUGCCAGCAGCCGCGGUAAAACGUAGGACGCAAGCGUUAUCCGGAGUUACUGGGCGUAAAGCGCGGGCAGGCGGUUCUUUAAGUCUGAUGUGAAAUUUCCUCGCUCAACGGGGAGCAGCCAUUGGAAACUGGGGAACUGGAGUCUGACAGAGGUAGGCGGAAUUCCGGGUGGAGUGGUGAAAUGCGUAGAGAUCCGGAGGAACACCAGAGGCGAAGGCGGCCUACUGGGUCAGAACUGACGCUGAGCCGCGAAAGCUAGGGGAGCGAA